AUGGACAGCACGGUUGCCAGCCAGAUUGCUGCUCUCUUUGGUUGCCCUGUGUCCUCCUUCCCUUGCACAUACCUAGGUCUUCCUCUCUCCUUGCAUAAGAUCAGGCACGGUAUGCUUCUGCCAGUUAUCCAUAGGGUUGAUAAAAGACUGUCUGGCUGGUUGGCUGCUCUUCUGUCUGCUGGAGGCCGGUUAACUUUAAUCAACUCAGUCUUAGCUAGCAUUCCCAGCUACUUUAUGACAUGCUUUCUUUGGCCAAAGGAGUCCAUUUCUAAGCUUGAGAGUCUGUUACGGGCAUUUUUUUGGCAAGGCAAAGCUACUGUUAAGGGCGGACAUUGCUUAGUGGCAUGGGAUUACGUCUCUUUGCCAAAAGAGUGUGGGGGACUAGGUGUGAGAGACCUCACUGCUGACAAUAGUGCCAUGUUAUGCAAGUUUGUGGCCAAGAUCAUCCAACGGUCCGAUGUCCCCUGCUUCCAAUGGUUUGCAGAGCAAUAUUGCAAGCAACAUCUGUUUUCUGGUAGCCAUUACAGGGACACGCCGCUCUGGAAGAACUUCAAGCAGUUUAUUCCUUUGGUAACUGCUGCCUCCCACUGCUCUUUGGGCACUGGGCAUCUUAUAUCUUUCUGGAAGGACAAAUGGUUACCCGUGGGUCGUCUUUGCUAUGAAUUUCUAGUUCUGUUUUCCUUUGCCAAGAAGGCGUGGUGCUCUGUUGCUUCUCAGUUCUUUGAUCACGGGUGGGUCAUCCAGUUACACCCAAAUCUUUCUCAGACGGCUGCUAGAGAGUUGGCUGAUCUUAUGGGCAUCCUGCUCAAUAUCCAGCCCUCCUCCUCGGACCAGGAUCACCGCUUAUCGUCUAUAUAUGCCAAGCAAAUGUCCACUGCUUUCUUCUAUCGCUUGCUGAACUUCAGAGGUGUCUCCUGCAACUUUCAACAACGGGUUUGGGAUUCAAUCAUCCCCUUGAAGCACAGAAUUUUCAUAUGGUUGGCCUACUGGGGCCGUCUGAAUACACAGGAUAAUAUGGCUAAAAAAACAGUGGACUUCUAUUGCCCCACAUGCUUUCUGCGACAUAUGCCCAGCUAUCAAGUCUUUCAGCCAUAUUGCCUUGAGAUGUGCUUCUGCUUCUGCCUUGUGGGAGAGAUUUGGCCUUCUUGA
rnacentral:rRNA from 1 species